ensembl:snoRNA
GCAUGGGUUUGGAUUUAUGGCCGGCUCGUCCUGCUGGGCCUUUCAUAGUGCCCCAUGCCAGAACAAACUGUGGCCCCAAACCAUUGCCUGGCCUCUGUGCCAUAGCCUGCAAGCACUAAAGCAUGCCGCACAGUG